UACGUAGGGGGCUAGCGUUGUCCGGAAUCAUUGGGCGUAAAGAGCGCGUAGGCGGCCCGGUAAGUCCGCUGUAAAAGUCCAGGGCUCAACCCUGGAAAGCCGGUGGAUACUGCCGGGCUAGAGUCCGGAAGAGGCGAGUGGAAUUCCUGGUGUAGCGGUGGAAUGCGCAGAUAUCAGGAGGAACACCAAUAGCGAAGGCAGCUCGCUGGGACGGUACUGACGCUGAGGUGCGAAAGCGUGGGGAGCAAACAGG
rnacentral:rRNA from 1 species